GGGGACGUAGCUCAGUUGGGAGAGCGCCGCACUCGCAUUGCGGAGGUCGGGAGUUCGAAUCUCCUCGUCUCCACCA
rnacentral:tRNA from 1 species